rnacentral:misc_RNA from 1 species
AAACACUUAAUCAUUCAUGAAACAUUUCAUGGAAAUACAAUCAUUCCCCAUUCACUGCUACUUGCAAAAGCCAAUGCUUUUGGAAUUUGACCAUACCUGUUCGAUUUCCUUUUUUCUAAUUUUCAAUUAUUACCCUUAUUUAUUUAUAUAUAUACAAAAAAUAAAUCAAUCAUUGGACCAGGAUAAGGCUGUUUGACCUACAAGAGGGCUUUUAAUACUCAAAAAAACAAAAUAAAGCACAUAUAUACAAGCCCCAGCUUCAUUCAAAACUCUAGCCAAUUAAUUUGUAUUUUGGUCAAAGGAUUCCUCUCUCUGUAUUACUCUGCACAGGAAUUAGAAUAUAUAUUAUUCCUUUUGUUGCAACCACAAAAUUCCCUUGACA